rnacentral:rRNA from 1 species
UAGGAAUCUGCCUGGUAGUGGGGGAUAACGUCCGGAAACGGACGCUAAUACCGCAUACGUCCUACGGGAGAAAGCAGGGGACCUUCGGGCCUUGCGCUAUCAGAUGAGCCUAGGUCGGAUUAGCUAGUUGGUGGGGUAAUGGCUCACCAAGGCGACGAUCCGUAACUGGUCUGAGAGGAUGAUCAGUCACACUGGAACUGAGACACGGUCCAGACUCCUACGGGAGGCAGCAGUGGGGAAUAUUGGACAAUGGGCGAAAGCCUGAUCCAGCCAUGCCGCGUGUGUGAAGAAGGUCUUCGGAUUGUAAAGCACUUUAAGUUGGGAGGAAGGGCAGUAAAUUAAUACUUUGCUGUUUUGACGUUACCGACAGAAUAAGCACUGGCUAACUCUGUGCCAGCAGCCGCGGUAAUACAGAGGGUGCAAGCGUUAAUCGGAAUUACUGGGCGUAAAGCGCGCGUAGGUGGUUCGUUAAGUUGGAUGUGAAAUCCCCGGGCUCAACCUGGGAACUGCAUUCAAAACUGACGAGCUAGAGUAUGGUAGAGGGUGGUGGAAUUUCCUGUGUAGCGGUGAAAUGCGUAGAUAUAGGAAGGAACACCAGUGGCGAA